rnacentral:rRNA from 1 species
UUAAUUUAAUAAGGGCGCAUGGCGGAUGCCUUGGCAUUAGAAGACGAUGAAGGACGCGACAAACAGCGAUAUGCUUCGGGGAGCAGUAAGUACGCUUCGAUCCGGAGAUCUCCGAAUGAGGAAACUCACUAGUGGUAAUGCACUAGUAUCAUUAACUGAAUACAUAGGUUAAUGAGGACAACCCAGUGAACUGAAACAUCUUAGUAACUGGAGGAAAAGAAAGAAAAAUCGAUUACCUUAGUAGUGGCGAGCGAAACGGUAACAGCCCAAACCAGUCUUAGGACUGGGGUUGUAGGACACUAAGCAUGGAGUUACAAAAUUAUACUAUAGUUGAAGCUUCUGGAAAGAAGUCCCAUAGUAGGUGAUAGGCCUGUAAACGAAAUGGUGUAAUCUCCUUAGUGUAUCCUGAGUAAGUCGGGACACGUGAAAUCUUGACUGAAUCUGCGGGGACCAUCCCGUAAGGCUAAAUACUCUCUAAUGACCGAUAGUGAACAAGUACCGUGAGGGAAAGGUGAAAAGAACCCCGGGAGGGGAGUGAAAUAGAUACUGAAACCGUAUGCUUACAAAAAGUUCGAGCCCGUUAAUGGGUGAGAGCGUGCCUUUUGCAGAAUGAACCGGCGAGUUAUGGUAUCGUGCAAGGUUAAGCGGAAAACGUGGAGCCGAAGCGAAAGCGAGUCUUAAUAGGGCGCGAGUACGAUGCUAUAGACCCGAAACCAAGCGAUCUAUUCAUGAGCAGGUUGAAGUAAGGGUGAAACCUUAUGGAGGACCGAACCAACUUCUGAUGCAAUAGGAGUGGAUGACUUGUGAAUAGCGGAGAAAUUCCAGUCGAGCUUGGAAAUAGCUGGUUCUCCCCGAAAUAGGUUUAGGCCUAGCCUUCUAAUUAGCUACCUGGAGGUAAAGCACUGAAUAUGGAAGGGCCGCACCUAGCGGUACUAACUGUAAUCAAACUCUGAAUGCCAGGAUAGUAUGUAGAGGAGUCAGUGUAUGGGUGAUAACGUCCAUACGCGAAAGGAAAUGAAUCCAGACCGUCAGUUAAGGUCCCAAAAUUUAUGCUAAGUGGAAAACGAUGUGGAGCUGCUAGAACAGCUAGGAGGUUGGCUCAGAAGCAGCCACCCUUUAAAGAGUGCGUAAUAGCUCACUAGUCGAGUGGCUCUGCGCGGAAUAUGUACCGGGGCUAAGCAUAAUACCGAAACUGCGGAUUCGUAAUUUAUUACGGAUGGUAGGGGAGCGUUCUAUGGGCGCUGAAGGUAGACCGUGAGGACUACUGGAGCGCAUAGAAGUGAGAAUGCCGGUGUGAGUAACGUAAGGAGGGUGAGAAUCCCUCCCACCGAUCGACUAAGGUUUCCUGGGUAAAGUUCGUCUCCCCAGGGUAAGUCGGGACCUAAGGCGAGGCCGAAAGGCGUAGUCGAUGGACAACAGGUUUAUAUUCCUGUACCACCUAUAUGACUGAUGGAGUGACGGAGAAAGCUAAGCAGGGCCGGUUAUUGGAUUCCGGUCUAAGCACAAAGGUAGAUGAAAUAAGUAAAUCUGUUCAUUGUUAUGCUGAAGUGUGAUGGCGACGAAUUCCUCGGAAUUUUAAGUCUGCUGACGCUAUGCUUCCAAGAAAAGCUUCUAAAGAUAUUAUAUAGGUGCCCGUACCAAGAACCGACACAGGUGGUCAAGGAGAGAAUCCUAAGGUGAGCGAGAUAACUAUGGUUAAGGAACUCGGCAAAAUAACCCCGUAACUUCGGGAGAAGGGGAGGUUUCUUCGGAAACCCGCAGGAAAUAGGUCCAGGCAACUGUUUAGCAAAAACACAGGUCUCUGCUAAAGCGUAAGCUGAUGUAUAGGGGCUGACGCCUGCCCAGUGCUGGAAGGUUAAGAUGAUUUGUUAGGUGGACGAAAGUCGAUAACACCGAAGCUUUGAUUUGAAGCCCCAGUGAACGGCGGCGAUAACUAUAAUCGUCCAAAGGUAGCGAAAUUCCUUGUCAGGUAAGUUCUGACCCGCACGAAAGGCGUAAUGA